rnacentral:rRNA from 1 species
UACAGAGGGUGCGAGCGUUGUCCGGAAUCACUGGGCGUAAAGGGCGCGUAGGUGGCGCCGCAAGUCCAUGGUGAAAGCUCGAUGCUCAACAUCGAGUCGGCCACGGAGACUGCGGGGCUCGAGCACUGUAGGGGCAGAUGGAAUUCCGGGUGUAGCGGUGGAAUGCGUAGAGAUCCGGAAGAACACCGGUGGCGAAGGCGGUCUGCUGGGCAGUUGCUGACACUGAGGCGCGACAGCGUGGG